ACAAAUUGUGUUAUUAGAGUGAACAUUGCAAAGUUUUUCUCCUUUCGUUUCACCCAUUUGGUCUUUUAUUCCACUUUUAAUGUUUUCAAACAUUUUUUUAGAAUGAUGGGCCGGUAAAACAUUAGCUGCGGGCCGAAAAUGGCCCCCGGGCCACACUUUGGACACGCUGGCUUAGAUGAAGUGUUAAUAUCUCUACACUGGUUGAAAUAAAAUAGUGGACUGUUCCUUCACACUUCAACAGCAGCCAGUGAUCUUCAUCCUGACACUGCCAACACUCGCCUCCAACUAAAAGAUCCCAGGAGUUUUGCAUUCUACGAGGAGAGUGGGAGAGCGGCCGUGCCAGCAACUUGAGGGUUCCAGGUUCGAUCCCCGCUUCCGCCAUCCUAGUCACUGCCGUCGUGUCAUUGGGCAAGACGCUUUACCCACCUGCUCCCAGUGCCACCCACACUGCUUUAAAUGCAACUUAGAUAUUGGCUUUCACUAUGUAAAGCGCUUUGAGUCACUAGAGAAAAAGCGCUAUAUAAUUCACUUCACGUACAUAAAAAUGGAGAAGGGUACUGGUAACAACUGCCGUCAGUUGUAAGUAGACAUUUGUCACUUAUUUUGAAGUACAGGACGUCUAAUGUUAUGUCCAAUGUUAAUGUGUCCUUUUUCUUCUUCAUGAUGUUUUUCCUCAGUUAUCCAGUAAGUGCGGACAAAAAACUUCUCGCCAGAACCAUGUGACACUUUACCCGUCACUUAACAUCAACAUGGAGGAUGAAAAUAAGGAUAUGUAAGGGAAUGUUAAGAGUGAGAAACACACAUUACUUGGAUUGAUUCUGACAGUAGCUCAUUAGAUUAGUUUUAUUUGUGUUGUAAAGGAACACUUCUAUGAUCCAACAUGCCACGCUGGCUUUCUGGAAGGUAAGCUGAGGAAUAUCCGCCGAAAACGAAGGGAUGAUUGCUGCCGUUAUUGCAGAAGGGGUGGCUCAUCUGAAGUCACUGUUGGACUUGAAGAAGUUACAGAAAGUGAUGAGUCUGUCCAAGAAUGGAUAACUGUGAUCAUAAGGAUGAAGCCUAGUCCGGAGAACCUUUCUUCCAUCAAGAUGGGUAUGGACAAAACCUACUUCCACCCAAGAUACUGGAUAUCUAAUCAGUCACCUACUCUGGCAGAGAUUGUUGAGAACUACCCUCGUUUCAUUGAUGUACCAUAUCUGAUCGACAGUUUGAGAAGAUGUUUCCAUACAAGACAGACAUCUUUCUACACAAAUGGGACCAAAGUUGUUGAAGCUGGCUGCUCUUGAAGGAAAAGAUGAACCACCAGAAGCUGAGAGUGCUGAAUGAAGGUGCUGUAGAGCACUGAAGAUGCUCACACAUGAUCUGCCCCCUACUGGGUCAAGAAGAUCUAUGGGAUGGACAAAAUGCAGCAUCAAGUCAGUGCUGUCCUACAUUGAACAAGUAAGAA